UACGUAGGGGGCUAGCGUUGUCCGGAAUCAUUGGGCGUAAAGCGCGUGUAGGCGGUCCGGUAAGUCCGCUGUGAAAGUCGGGGGGCUCAACCCUCGAAUGCCGGUGGAUACUGUCGGGCUAGAGUGCGGAAGAGGCGAGUGGAAUUCCUGGUGUAGCGGUGAAAUGCGCAGAUAUCAGGAGGAACACCAAUUGCGAAGGCAGCUCGCUGGGACGUAACUGACGCUGAGGAGCGAAAGCAUGGGGAGCGAACAGG
rnacentral:rRNA from 1 species